GUGGGUAUAGCUCAGUGAUAGAGCACAUGCUUAGCAUCCAUGAGGUCCUGGAUUCAAUCUCCAGUACCUCCA
rnacentral:tRNA from 1 species